GUGAGUGCUACCGCUGCGGCCAGACCGGC
rnacentral:sRNA from 1 species